UGAGGAGCUUAGGUGCGGCGUCUGCGCAGAAGGUGCUGGACCAGGUCCUAGGUGGAUCGAUCCCUGCUGGUCCGCAAUGUGGGGUGCUGCAGGGUUUUCUGGCGUGGCCCCCAGAAACUAUCACCAGCGCCUUCAGCCUCGGUGCACAGACACUUCAAAUCCAAGCAGCACCUGGAAAUGCUGCCUGCCCCAGGCACCGGGGCCUCACUGGAGGCAAAGCCUUCCAUUCCACAGGACCAGGAACCAGGAGCUAAGGUGUCUGGAGCCCUGAGGAGAGAGGCAGCCAGGAACAGGGUCUUUCUACACAGCUCUGUCUGUCCUGGAACUCACUAUGUAGAC
rnacentral:lncRNA from 1 species